GACGAACGCUGGCGGCGUGCCUAAUACAUGCAAGUAGAACGCACAGUUUAUACCGUAGCUUGCUACACCAUAGACUGUGAGUUGCGAACGGGUGAGUAACGCGUAGGUAACCUGCCUGGUAGCGGGGGAUAACUAUUGGAAACGAUAGCUAAUACCGCAUAAUAUUAAUUAUUGCAUGAUAAUUAAUUGAAAGGUGCAAUUGCACCACUACCAGAUGGACCUGCGUUGUAUUAGCUAGUAGGUGAGGUAACGGCUCACCUAGGCGACGAUACAUAGCCGACCUGAGAGGGUGAUCGGCCACACUGAGACUGAGACACGGCCCAGACUCCUACGGGAGGCAGCAGUAGGGAAUCUUCGGCAAUGGACGAAAGUCUGACCGAGCAACGCCGCGUGAGUGAAGAAGGUUUUCGGAUCGUAAAGCUCUGUUGUAAGAGAAGAACGGGUGUGAGAGUGGAAAAUUCACACUGUGACGGUAUCUUACCAGAAAGGGACGGCUAACUACGUG
rnacentral:rRNA from 1 species